rnacentral:rRNA from 1 species
UUGCGUCACAUUAGUUAGUUGGUGGGGUAAAGGCCUACCAAGACUAUGAUGUGUAGCCGGGCUGAGAGGUUGAACGGCCACAUUGGGACUGAGACACGGCCCAAACUCCUACGGGAGGCAGCAGUAGGGAAUUUUCGGCAAUGGAGGAAACUCUGACCGAGCAACGCCGCGUGAACGAUGAAGUAUUUCGGUACGUAAAGUUCUUUUAUUAGGGAAGAAUAAAUGAUGGAAAAAUCAUUCUGACGGUACCUAAUGAAUAAGCCCCGGCUAACUAUGUGCCAGCAGCCGCGGUAAUACAUAGGGGGCAAGCGUUAUCCGGAAUUAUUGGGCGUAAAGGGUGCGUAGGCGGUUAAAUAAGUUUAUGGUCUAAGUGCAAUGCUCAACAUUGUGAUGCUAUAAAAACUGUUUAGCUAGAGUAAGAUAGAGGCAAGUGGAAUUCCAUGUGUAGUGGUAAAAUGCGUAAAUAUAUGGAGGAACACCAGUAGCGAAGGCGGCUUGCUGGGUCUUUACUGACGCUGAGGCACGAAAGCGUGGGGAGCAAACAGGAUUAGAUACCCUGGUAGUCCACGCCGUAAACGAUGAGUACUAAACGUUGGGUAAAACCAGUGUUGAAGUUAACACAUUAAGUACUCCGCCUGAGUAGUACGUACGCAAGUAUGAAACUUAAAGGAAUUGACGGGACUCCGCACAAGCGGUGGAUCAUGUUGUUUAAUUCGAAGGUACCCGAAAAACCUCACCAGGUCUUGACAUGCUUCUGCAAAGCUGUAGAAACACAGUGGAGGUUAUCAGUUGCACAGGUGGUGCAUGGUUGUCGUCAGCUCGUGUCGUGAGAUGUUGGGUUAAGUCCCGCAACGAGCGCAACCCUUAUUGUUAGUUACCAGCACGUAAUGGUGGGGACUUUAGCAAGACUGCCAGUGAUGAAUUGGAGGAAGGUGGGGACGACGUCAAAUCAUCAUGCCCCUUAUGACCUGGGCUACAAACGUGAUACAAUGGCUGUUACAAAGGGUAGCUGAAGCGCAAGUUUUUGGCGAAUCUCAAAAAAACAGUCUCAGUUCGGAUUGAAGU